AACGAACGCUGGCGGCCGGCUUAACACAUGCAAGUCGAGCGCCCCGCAAGGGGAGCGGCAGACGGGUGAGUAACGCGUGGGGAUCUGCCUAGUGGUACGGAACAACACGGGGAAACUCGUGCUAAUACCGUAUAAGUCCUUCGGGAGAAAGAUUUAUCGCCAUUAGAUGAACCCGCGUCUGAUUAGCUAGUUUGUGAGGUAACGGCUCACCAAGGCGACGAUCAGUAGCUGGUCUGAGAGGAUGAUCAGCCACACUGGGUCUGAGACACGGCCCAGACUCCUACGGGAGGCAGCAGUGGGGAAUAUUGGACAAUGGGCGCACGCCUGAUCCAGCCAUGCCGGGUGAGUGAUGAAGGCCUUAGGGGUGUAAAGCUCUUUCGCUGGGGAAGAUAAUGACGGUACCCAGAGAAGAAGCCCCGGCUAACUUCGUGCCAGCAGCCGCAGUAA
rnacentral:rRNA from 1 species